UUUAAGCGUAGCCAUAAAUUUCCGUGUUCAAUUUUGAUCGUCCGUCUUAUUAGUAUUUUUAUUGUUAUUGGAUGAUAAAAUAUGAAUAAUAUUUUAUGCAUAACUUAUUUUUUUAAUUUUUUUCAAAAAAGUUUUAAAUAAGACAAACGAUCAAAGUUGAGCACAGAAAAUCAUAGCUGCACACAGA
rfam:Oryza meridionalis cultivar OR44 (W2112) chromosome 2, whole genome shotgun sequence.